UACGUAGGAGGCGAGCGUUGUCCGGAGUUACUGGGCGUAAAGCGCACGCAGGCGGUCAAUCUAGUUCUGGGUGACAGUUCCCGGCUUAACCGGGGAAGUGCCUGGAAAACUGGUUGACUUGAGGACUUCAGAGGGAGACGGUAUUCCGGGUGGAGCGGUGAAAUGCGUAGAGAUCCGGAGGAACACCAAAGGCGAAGGCAGUCUCCUGGGAAGUUCCUGACGCUCAGGUGCGAAAGCCAGGGGAG
rnacentral:rRNA from 1 species